rnacentral:rRNA from 1 species
GACGAACGCUGGCGGCGUGCUUAACACAUGCAAGUCGAACGGAAAGGCCUCUUUCGGGGGGUACUCGAGUGGCGAACGGGUGAGUAACACGUGAGUAACCUGCCCUUGACUUUGGGAUAACUUCAGGAAACUGGGGCUAAUACCGGAUAGGAGCUCCUGCUGCAUGGUGGGGGUUGGAAAGUUUCGGCGGUUGGGGAUGGACUCGCGGCUUAUCAGCUUGCUGGUGGGGUAGUGGCUUACUAAGGCUUUGACGGGUAGCCGGCCUGAGAGGGUGACCGGCCACAUUGGGACUGAGAUACGGCCCAGACUCCUACGGGAGGCAGCAGUGGGGAAUAUUGCACAAUGGGUGGAAGCCUGAUGCAGCAACGCCGUGUGCGGGAUGACGGCCUUCGGGUUGUAAACCGCUUUCGCUCAUGACGAAGCUUUGUGUGACGGUAGUGGGUAAAGAAGCACCGGCUAACUACGUG